UACGAAGGGUGCUAGCGUUGUUCGGAAUUACUGGGCGUAAAGGGAGCGUAGGCGGACAGUUUAGUCAGAGGUGAAAGCCCAGGGCUCAACCUUGGAAUUGCCUUUGAUACUGACUGUCUUGAGUACGGGAGAGGUGUGUGGAACUCCGAGUGUAGAGGUGAAAUUCGUAGAUAUUCGGAAGAACACCAGUGGCGAAGGCGACACACUGGCCCGUUACUGACGCUGAGGCUCGAAAGCGUGGGGAGCAAACAGG
rnacentral:rRNA from 1 species